rnacentral:rRNA from 1 species
GAUAAACGCUGGCGGCGUGCAUUAUGCAUGCAAGUCGAACGGUGUCGCAAGACACAGUGGCAAACGGGUGAGUAACACAUAAGUAACCUGUCCUUGAGUGGGGAAUAAUUCGCCGAAAGGUGGACUAAUACCGCAUGUUAUAGCCUUCCAUAAGGAGGGUUAUCAAAGCCGCAAGGCGCUCAAGGAGGGGCUUGUGCCCGAUUAGCUAGUUGGUGGGGUAAUGGCCUACCAAGGCUGUGAUCGGUAGCUGGUCUGAGAGGAUGGUCAGCCACACUGGGACUGAGAUACGGCCCAGACUCCUACGGGAGGCAGCAGUUGGGAAUCUUAGGCAAUGGACGAAAGUCUGACCUAGCGACGCCACGUGAGGGAAGGAGGCCUUCGGGUUGUAAACCUCUGUCAUGGGGAAGAAGUAAGUGACGGUACCCCAAGAGGAAGCCCCUGCUAACUACGUG